UUGCAGCCGCCUUCUCUUUUUUUUUCUGUCGCUGCUCCUCAACAACAUCGCAGAAAAACAACCAACCAACCGAGCAUCAAAGCCUCUUCCCACCCCACCCCCUCUCUCCCCUUCCUUUCCCCACUUCGCGGUUUGUUUGCCUGAACUCUCAGCCUGUUCAGUGUUACUCCGUAGUCUUGGCGUUUUCCCUUUCCACCUCCGCCCCACCCUGGGUUUUCCUUUUUGUGCAUAUUUGCGUUAGUUAACCACUGAAGUCAGUACACAGCUGUCCCCAUCCCCAUCCCUUUUUUUUUUCUUCCUACUACACAAUAAGCUCUGGCCUGCACGCCGUCACUGCGGCGUCUACACACACUGCAUUCUCAUCAGCAUUCUCCCUGUGAAACUGUUCCUCCCGUUCUCUAUCAUUGUUUAUUGCCUUUCUCCACCCACCACCAAACAGCAACAAUGCCGCUCUGCGCCAGCAUCCCCGCGACGGUCGACACCGACACGAACACCCGCGCUCUCUACCUGGAUGAUUUGGACAAGUGCAUGAAGAACUUCAACAGUGCCCUCGCGUCCACCAUGAACGCGUACCAAAACCUCCUCACCGCGUUUGAUCAGGUGGCGCAGGUGUACGGCAACGUCGCCCAGGAGUGCGGGGAUGAGGUGCGCAAGCCGGUUGGCGAAUUCCGCGACGGGAUGCGCGAUCUCAAGGACAAAGGUGGCUUCGAGACGUUCAACCACGAGAUCCACGUGGGCACGAUUGCUGUAAUGGAGCCGGUGAAAUUGGACCUGAAGAAGGCGCUCAAGUCGCUCAAGUUCCUGAGGCUGAAGCAGAAGGAGUACGACACCGUUCGCUACGAGCUGGAGCAGACCGAGAAGUCGUACGCGAAGAAGAACAAGCCCUUGGUAGCGAGCAACAGCUACAAGAAGACGCUCGCAAAGCGAGAUAAGGUGAAGGCGUCGUACGAUGCGAGUCGCGAGGCCUUUGGCGACGAGAUGAACGCACUGCAGGCUACGACCAAGUCCGUUCUGCUCCAGUCCCUCAACAACUACCUCCACUGCACGGCCGCUUUUUGUGGACAACUGGAGGCAACCAUGGACGGCUACCGCACCGACGUGGACCACCAUGGCAGCACCACGUUUGCAAACGACCAAAUGGACAAGCUGAAGGAGAAAGCCGAAGCCGAGUCGAUGGCGCGGCGCGCGCAGCGCAAGAACGAGGCGUCGAACCCGUUCCAGACUGGAAACGAUGUCACAUCGAACAACAGCCACCGCAACUUGCCUUCGGUUGAUGAUGGCCUCUACCAAAAGAAGGAUUCGCUGGUGGACACUGAGAGCGCCAACCGCUACCCCAACGCUGAACUUGCGCCGCCGAUGCAGAACGGCGGUGACGACUUCACGCUGAGGGAGCAGUAUGAGAACGAGGCGCCCGGCGAUGCCGAUGCCGUGAACCCGCUCGUUGACGCAAACGACGACGAGUGAGUGACGAAACGACAAACGUGUGCGACCUCUAAUACACAACUCGGCCCCUCCUCAGCGGCACUCCCCUCCUCUCCCCUCCCCUCCCCCUUUCGGUGUGUUCCUUCUCUAGUAGAUUGCUUGCUUGUCCGUCUGCAGUCUCCUACACAGGUCUUUGCACAUACGCGCAAACGCCGCCGGGACCUGCGGUGCAGGCUGAGCGAGUGUAUGUGCAUGUAUAUAUGUGUGUGCGUGCGUGCGUUUCCUUCAACGGGCAGCGCACUGCCGUCCUCGUGGAAAUUGCUUGCAUUUGCAGGUAAAAGCAUGCAUAUGGAUUAUUCAAGCCUGUUUACGUUGUCACGUGUGUUUCCACCUUUCCUCACCACCCCCGAUGAGCUCGGUUCGUUCCGUUUGUUUUUCGCGCCUACGCACUCCCCCUCCGCCACACGCACACACACACUCGUUUUUUUUUUCGCUCUUUCGUCCUUCUCUUUGUCACCUACGAUCCUUUUUUUUCUGUUUGUUUGUUUCGCAGAGCGAACGCGUCACUAGGGUUCGCCAUCCGUUGUUUUCAUAGUGGAGGGGAGAAGGAUGGAAGGUUGCUUCCGUUACCAGGGAGGUUGGGAGGAGGGCAACGAAGCGUCUUGGUGCGGGAGACCCGCCAGACCCUGAGAACGCGCGCCCUCUGUCGCCGCGUGUCUUCCUCGCCCCCCCCCCCUUUUUUUUCUUUUUGGCCCUUAUUGUUUUCGAGUGAACUGCCUCUCUCAUUUUUCUGUUGUCGUUUCGCAUGUAUGUAGCCCACCUCCACGAAGGCCUUGAAGAAGCACACAAGAAGAAACAAAAAAAGAAAAAAGGAAAGCAAUGAAAGCGAAGAGCACGAACAUCUGCUGCCGCUGCUGCUGUUGUUGUCGUGUGUGUGUGUGUGUGUGUGUGUGUGUGUGCCUGCUGACUUCAUCUGGCGGUAUUGCUGUUGUGACUGACAUGGCGCGCUGCACCACGAGCGGCGCGUGGGAGACCGACAUCAUCACCGAUGGCGCACGUCAACGCACACGCUUCUCUUCCCACCGCCACAGGCACACAUACACACUACAGUGAAGUACCAGUCUUUUUUUUCUCUCGUGUCACUUACAUCAUUCAUCCUGAUCAUGCGGGUCGCCGUGAAGGAUGGGCGGCCGACGACGACAAGCAUUGGCGUACAAGUGCAGCCGGGCAAGCGAGAAGAGAACGCUACUAGAGAAGCGUGCACGCCUGGCCUUUGUCACCUCCAUGCGAUGCGCUGUCACGCUCGGCGUUAUCAUGUAUUUACAAAUGUUGUUGUUGCUGUUGUUGUCGCCUCUGUUCUCUCGUUUUUUUUUUUCGUUUUCGUACAUAACUUCUCCCCAGCACCACCAUCACCACCCCCUGGUCUUUCUGUUCUACUUACGUAUAUGCAUACAGACUC
rnacentral:misc_RNA from 1 species